rnacentral:rRNA from 1 species
UACGUAGGGUGCGAGCGUUGUCCGGAAUUAUUGGGCGUAAAGGGCUCGUAGGCGGUUUGUCGCGUCGGGAGUGAAAACCCAGGGCUUAACCCCGAGCCUGCUUCCGAUACGGGCUGACUAGAGUUCGGUAGGGGAGACUGGAAUUCCUGGUGUAGCGGUGAAAUGCGCAGAUAUCAGGAGGAACACCGGUGGCGAAGGCGGGUCUCUGGGCCGAUAUUGACGCUGAGGAGCGAAAGCGUGGGGAGCGAACAGG